CAGCCAUUUGGUUGUGGUGCCGGAGACGGACCCCUUUAGAUUUCGGGGCGGCUGAGGAGCGCGGCGGCUGCUCCUUGGCUGAGCGAGGGGGGUGGGAGGAAUGGCGGGGGAAGGGAAGGUGACUGUGCCUCGAGGGCCGAGCCGCCCGGCCUUGCCAGCCCGCCGCGGCCUCAGCGUUUGGCCGGGGGCGGGGCCGCAGCUGCGGCUCACAACCCGCGCGCCCCUUCGCCUCCCGCCUCGUCCUAGUCCAGCCGCGACCAUCGCCGCCCCUCUAAUAAAUAAGUAAAUAAAAGCAAGAUGCGUCCACCUUUGGAUGACUUACCUCGCGGGCUCUACCCUCUCCACGGAGAGGCAUUUCAAUUUGCUGUCACAUGAGGUCAGCUUGGAAGGAGAGAUCACCAAGAGGCACCCGGGAUCUUGUUUAGUCAAUAAAUGAAUGAAGACCAUGAAUUAAGAAUUGUUGCUAAAUGUAUUGAAUAUUAAUUAAAAAGUGUAAAAAGGAA